rnacentral:tRNA from 1 species
GAGAUAUUAGUAAAACAUUACAUAAUCUUGUCAAGAUUAAAUUAUAGGUGCAACUCCUAUAUAUCUCC